rnacentral:rRNA from 1 species
UACGUAGGGUGCAAGCGUUAUCCGGAAUUAUUGGGCGUAAAGAGCUCGUAGGCGGCCGGUUGCGUCUGCUGUGAAAUCCCGGGGCUUAACCCCGGGCGUGCAGUGGAUACGGGCUGGCUGGAGGCAGGCAGGGGAGAAUGGAAUUCCCGGUGUAGCGGUGAAAUGCGCAGAUAUCGGGAGGAACACCGGUGGCGAAGGCGGUUCUCUGGGCCUGUGCUGACGCUGAGGAGCGAAAGCGUGGGGAGCGAACAGG